rnacentral:lncRNA from 1 species
GAGGGUGGAGGAAGGAGCUUGUAAAUGAGCAGCUGGUUUGCAGCAAAACCGCACCUCACUCUGCACCUUUGGAUCCCUCUCAGCCUGAGGUUAGCACAGCCAAUGUCCUCACCAGCGUCUGCCAAAGCCCAUGGAGAAGGCCAGCAGGAGCAUAUCACUGUGACUUACAACCCUUCUCUAGUCUGCUACAAUGGAAUCUUAAACAAGAAAAUUUUAUAUUUUGACUUGCAUCAUUGAGAAAAACACUGCCAACCUGAUCGUGGUUCCUUUGAAGAGCAUGGAAGGAAGCAAUGAAAAAAGCCUCACUCCUGGUUGCACACCUGGGAUUCUGUACCUGACGGACACCAUCCAUCCUUUUAGAUGAUGCAUUGAGUCCUAACUAUUCCCUUCCCAAGAAAGUUCAAGCCAGGAGAUCAAUCUGCUUGGGAUGGAAAGAAUCACUGCAGCAGGUGCGAGAGAGGACUCAUGGAGCUUGCAGAUGAGCUAGCCCAGGUAGGACAUCUGAUGUUGGGACCCUCUUCAGAAGUGAAGCAUAUAUAAUCCCACAUGAAAUCUCUCAAGCCAUUCCAGAAGAAUGUUUUCUCAGAUAAAGGUUAUUUACCUAUUUAUAAUAAUUUAUAAUUUACAAAGCAUAUUCAUAUAUAUGAUCCCAUCUAACUCAUAAAAUUAUAUGAAAUGUAUACUAUCUCCAUUUUACAGAUGGGGAAAUUGAGCCUCAGAGUGAUAAAGUAACUUCCCCAAAGUCAUGUAGCUAGUAAAUGAAAGUGAUGAGACUCACACUAGGUUCUUCUAAGUUUUUAGAGUACUUCGUCCACGGCGCCAAGGUGUCUAGGGCAGAGACACCACAACCUCCUAAGAAUAUUUUUCAGACCCUGAACUUGAUGGGUCAGCUGCCACCACGCAGAUGGAUAAAGUGGCUUAUCUGGUACUGUGGCCCCCACUCAGGAACUGACUCAGCGCAAAGAAGACAGCUUCAACUCCCUAUGAUUUCAUCUCCAAUGGGACCAAUCAUCACUCCCCAGUCCCUGGCCUCCUAUGCACCAAAUUAUCCUUAAAAAACCCCAGUCUCUUAAUUGUCAGUCUCUCCAAUCUCUGAAUUUCCAGAAAGAGUUUAAUUCAUGCAGAGGCAGCUGAACUGAUUUGAGUAUGAAUUAAACUCUUUCUCUAUUGCAAUUCCUCUGUCUUGAUGAAUCGGCUUUAUCUGGGCAGUGGGCACAAUGAAUCCUUGGGCGGUUACAAUAAAACUGAAAAUAGAUAAAAACUGUGUGUGGCAAGAUUUAGAUCUAUAAAUUUUGACCUUGGAAAAUAGAACUCCAUAAAAAUAAUGCCCCCAAAAUAAAACUCACAGUAGUAGAAGCUGUUAUAGUAAAAUUUGAAUUGAACAAAAGACUGUUAAAACAGGACUGUGUUGAUAAGUUACACAUAAAUGAAUUCAUCCGGAUCAAAAUAAUUUUAGUAUUUUUACUCAUGACAUUGUAUUCAUGUUUAUUUAUGACAACAUAAAUAGUAAUUUUAUUCACAUGACAAAAUUGGAAAUACUUUAAGUGUGCUAUGUAGAAAACUAAUCAAGGAAUUAAUUUGGGUUAAUGAAAUUAAUUGUUAAAAGUAAUUUCUUGUCAACAACUUUUGUUGCUGGUAUAAUUGUUACAUGCCAGGUUCUGGUCUGUUCUACCUUCAAGCAGUAAAUCAAUCACUAUGAUUCAGGUUUUGCAAAAGAGAAAAGAUUUAUUCGAAAGGACACCCAGCGAGGAGGCGGUGGGAGAACAGCUCUCAAAUCUGCCUCCCCAAAGAUAAAGCUUAAGGGUAUUUAUGGGUUAGGGAAGUGAGGUGGUCUAAGGUGUGGGGAAAGGUGGUUGCUAGUGGGGAAAAAUGAAGUAACAGGUUCAUUCUGCAACAGCCUAGCUGGAGUUUGUGGCAUUCCACAGCACAUAUGUACAGAAAAUGGCAGCAUUAGCAUGGACUGAGGAUGGAGUCUUUGGCCCUCCAACAUAAAAAGGCCGCCUCUCCAGCACUUGAGCAGACCCAGUUAAAAGGUCAGUGGUCUCAACCAGUUUGAACUGGACAGAAGCAGGUCCAAGUUUCUGAAAAACAACUGAAGUAACCGUUACCAUGGUGACCUGUGAAUGUUAUCUAUAAAGUAGCUGGUGAAGGUUACGUUUCAGCAUUCAGUGGCAUGCCCUUCAGUGAUUGCAGACUUCAACUUCAGGGAGAGAUAAAAAAUAACAAAAAGCAAGCAACCAAAAGCAAGCAGGACAGGCAGACCUGACCAAACUAACCCCUCAGUUUUAUAAUUCUAAUUUUAAUGUUUGUAUUCAUUAACACAGAAUCACAGCACUCCCAGGACAAAAGUGAGGGUAAAAAAACUACAAAAUAGUAAUAGCAGGACAAAAACAUCUACUGUUGCUCCAGCACAGAGUAAGCUUUUGAUUAAUGAUUUUUGAGAAAGGAAAUGAAUAUUUAAACAAUGUGAUGUUUGUUAAUCACUUUCUAACUAUAAGCCCACUAACUAAAAUCUGCCUGAAAUUCACUUAUCAAAUCUGCAAUAUUUAAUGCAAGAUUAGAUUGAUUGUUUUAAUCCUCUGAAAGUUUUGCAUUACUUUGGAUACUUUCCCCUUUCUGUUAGUUUUCUUUUGAGCAUUUCAAGGAGUUUUAAAUUCCAAUUUAUCUAUGGAUCCUUCUGCCUUAAUUUCAAGCAAACAAGCAAAUUAUAUACUAUAAUUCAGGAAAUGAGAGUGUUCAGUGUAAGUCAAUCAUACAGAGAAAAAAGGCAACUUUUUCUUCAAGAUUAGAGAAACCACUAUCAUAACAUUUAAUAUUUCUCCAUCAUUUCAUUGAUCCUUCUGCAAAGGAAGAGAACUUUGAGACAUAAAUCCAUCUCUUUCCUUUCUUGGUUUUAUGGAAGCAACUAGAUGCUUGCUUCACACCAUAAUGCUAAGUACAAGUAGUAUAAAAAUUUGAAUAUAUAAAAAACUCACUAAAAAACCUGGAAGGAAAUAUAAUUAAAUACUGAUCUAAAAUUUUGAAUGGAGAACUUCUGAGGCAAAAGUGAUAAGUUAUGAGCCCUCUGUCCCACCCCAAUGUUUUAUUAAGCCUGCAGUGUUUCCUUUGAAGGAUGUUGUAUGUAAUAAUCUGGAUUCUGGAAAAAUUCAGAUCUUGCCACAGUGGGCCUAUUCUUAUCAACAACAAAUUGGAAUUUAGUGGUGUUCCUCCUGUUUGGACAAGCUGCAAGUUCUUCCCAGUUUCAAGACUACCUGUUGCCUUGUAUCGGGCCCACAUCAGCCCCACAUCAGCCCCACAUCAGCCCAUUGUAUUAUCUCUCUGACCAGUGGUGGAGUUUGAGCUUGUGGACUUUGUCUACAUCAUAGAAGAAGUCAUGAAGAGAAAGAUGACAUAUCUGACUAACAUCAAGUGGAAAACUUUGGUAUAUAAAAAUAAGCCACUUCACUUAUUUUUAACAAGUAACUGAUUAGAAAAAUGAGCAAAUACAAGAGUCAACCAUAUAUUAAAUUUAUGAUAUCAAGAGUUCAUCAAAAAUACCAAUAUCUUAAGGGACAAAAGGAUAAGAACUCAAUUGAUAGAAGAGGAAACACCAUCCAAAAGCAUUCAAACUCAUUAGUAACCAAACAAUAGUUUUAAAACAAUUACAUAUGAUUUCUGAUCCAUUAAAUUAAAAAAAUUAAAGUAUAACAUCAAUGCUAAUACUCCAUUGUUGGCUGGAAAGUAGUUUGGCAAUAUGUACCAAAAGCUUUCAAAAUGUUUAUUCCCUUUAAUGUGGAGUCCCUAUACUCACACAGAUCCCAGAGUCCAAGGGCCUGGAUUCAAAUCCAGACUCCUCCAUUUAUCAACGAUGUAAACAGGGGUAAUGUAAACCAGCACAUCUCGAUUUCCUCAUCUCUAAAAUGAGAAUAAUCAUAAUAGUACUUACAUUAUUGGAUUACUGUGAUGAUUAAAUGAAUAAUAGGACUUUUGGGAACAGUGCCUAGCAAACAGUGGUACAAUAUAAGUUUGCUAAAUGAAUAGAUUUAUCUAUUUUAAAAAUUUACUUGAGGAAGCUACCAACUGAGAAAAGGAUUUAUGCAGAAAAUUGUGUAUUAUAGUACUAUUUAUAAUAUUUAUAAUAGCAAAAAAUUAAGAGCUAUAAUAGAGAAUGAUUAGCUAUUUCAUAGAAAAUGAAAUUAAUGAAAUGUGAUGCAGUCAUUAAAAUUAUGUUUAUGAACUUUGUGUAAUAAUGUUGAAAUCAUAAUUUUAAGUGAAAUAAAAAGCAAAAUAUAUACCAGCAUAUUUGGCAUAUUACAAUAAUUAAAUUACAAUAAUUAAAUUUUUAU